AACGAACGCUGGCGGCAUGCCUAACACAUGCAAGUCGAACGAGACCUUCGGGUCUAGUGGCGCACGGGUGCGUAACGCGUGGGAACCUGCCCUUAGGUUCGGAAUAACUCCCCGAAAGGGGUGCUAAUACCGGAUAAUGUCUUCGGACCAACGAUUUAUCGUCUUUGGAUGGGCCCGCGUUGGAUUAGCUAGUUGGUAGAGUAAAAGCCUACCAAGGCGACGAUCCAUAGCUGGUCAGAGAGGAUGAUCAGCCACACUGGGACUGAGACACGGCCCAGACUCCUACGGGAGGCAGCGAUAGGGAAUAUUGGACAAGGGGCGAAAGUCAGAUACAGCAAUGCAGCGUAAGUGAUGAAGACCUUAGGGUUGUAAAGCUCUUUUACACGGGAUGAUAAUGAAAGUAACGGGAGAAUAAGGUCCGGCUAACUCCGUG
rnacentral:rRNA from 1 species